rnacentral:rRNA from 1 species
UGGGGAAUAUUGGACAAUGGGCGAGAGCCUGAUCCAGCCAUGCCGCGUGUGUGAAGAAGGUCUUCGGAUUGUAAAGCACUUUAAGUUGGGAGGAAGGGCAUUAACCUAAUACGUUAGUGUUUUGACGUUACCGACAGAAUAAGCACCGGCUAACUCUGUGCCAGCAGCCGCGGUAAUACAGAGGGUGCAAGCGUUAAUCGGCAUUACUGGGCGUAAAGCGCGCGUAGGUGGUUUGUUAAGUUGGAUGUGAAAUCCCCGGGCUCAACCUGGGAACUGCAUUCAAAACUGACUGACUAGAGUAUGGUAGAGGGUGGUGGAAUUUCCUGUGUAGCGGUGAAAUGCGUAGAUAUAGGAAGGAACACCAGUGGCGAAGGCGACCACCUGGACUAAUACUGACACUGAGGUGCGAAAGCGUGGGGAGCAAACA